rnacentral:rRNA from 1 species
UACGUAGGGUGCGAGCGUUAAUCGGAAUUACUGGGCGUAAAGCGUGCGCAGGUGGUUGUGUAAGCCAGAUGUGAAAUCCCCGGGCUUAACCUGGGAAUGGCAUUUGGGACUGCACGGCUAGAGUGUGGCAGAGGGGGAUGGAAUUCCGCGUGUAGCAGUGAAAUGCGUAGAUAUGCGGAGGAACACCGAUGGCGAAGGCAAUCCCCUGGACCUGUACUGACGCUCAUGCACGAAAGCGUGGGGAGCAAACAGG